UUGGUCAAUGGCCGAAAGGCUGAACCAGUAACUUGGAAGAAUGGUGAUGUAUCUUUGUAUAGAUACAUCGGCGAUUAACUCGUAUAAAAUUCUAAAUAGAUUGUAUAUAAUGACAUAAUCUAUUUAUAAGUCUUGACCAAACUACGUGCCAGCAGUCGCGGUAAUACGUAGGAGGCUAGUGUUAGUUAUCUUUAUUGGGUUUAAAGGGUAAGUAGACGGUAAAUUAAACUCUAAACGAGUACUUUUUUACUAGAGUUAUAUGAGAGAAGGAAGAAUUUCUGGAGUAGAGAUAAAAUUUGAUGAUACCAGGAGGACUGUCAACGGCGAAGGCCGUCCUUCUAUGUAAUAACUGACGUUGAGAGACGAAGGCUUGGGUAGCAAACAGGAUUAGAUACCCUAAUAGCCCAAGCAGACAAUGAUGAAUGUCAUACAUUAGAUAUAAAUUUAAUGUAUAAACGAAAGUGUAAGCAUUCCACCUCAAGAGUACUAUGGCGACAUAUAAACGGAAAUCAUUAGACCGUUUCUGAAACCAGUAGUGAAGUAU
rnacentral:rRNA from 1 species